UACGGGAGGCAGCAGUGGGGAAUAUUGCACAAUGGGCGCAAGCCUGAUGCAGCCAUGCCGCGUGUAUGAAGAAGGCCUUCGGGUUGUAAAGUACUUUCAGCGGGGAGGAAGGCGAUGUGGUUAAUAACCGCAUCGAUUGACGUUACCCGCAGAAGAAGCACCGGCUAACUCCGUGCCAGCAGCCGCGGUAAUACGGAGGGUGCAAGCGUUAAUCGGAAUUACUGGGCGUAAAGCGCACGCAGGCGGUCUGUCAAGUCGGAUGUGAAAUCCCCGGGCUUAACCUGGGAACUGCAUUCGAAACUGGCAGGCUAGAGUCUUGUAGAGGGGGUAGAAUUCCAGGUGUAGCGGUGAAAUGCGUAGAGAUCUGGAGGAAUACCGGUGGCGAAGGCGGCCCCUGGACAAAGCUGACGCUCAGGUGCGAAAGCGUGGGGAGCAAACAGGAUUAGGAUAACC
rnacentral:rRNA from 1 species